rnacentral:rRNA from 1 species
UACGUAGGGAGCGAGCGUUGUCCGGAUUCAUUGGGCGUAAAGAGCUCGUAGUCGGCUUGUUAAGUCGGAUGUGAAACCUCCAGGCUCAACCUGGAGUCGCCAUCCGAUACUGCCAUGGCUAGAGUCCGGUAGGGGCCCACGGAAUUCCUGGUGUAGCGGUGAAAUGCGCAGAUAUCAGGAGGAACACCGAUGGCGAAGGCAGUGGGCUGGGCCGGCACUGACGCUGAGGAGCGAAAGCGUGGGGAGCGAACAGG